rnacentral:tRNA from 1 species
UUGGAGUAUAGCCAAGUGGCAAGGCAAUCGUUUUUGGUACGAUCAUUCAAAGGUUCGAAUCCUUUUACUCCAAG